CUUGUCAGUUGUAUGCGAAAUAAAGGUAGCGAAUGCAGCUCGUGAUUAGGAAAUUCCCCGGAAGCAUUUGGCUGGUUCCAAAUUCUUAAUGCGGAAUCUGAAUACUGGAACCAUAUACUGGAUUACAGUCCCUGAGAAUGAAAUAAAGCAAUGUGACAAUGGAUAGUGACAAUUUAGAUCUUAUUGAGGUUCCACCAGAUAGACUGCUCUUCAAUGAACAGCUGCACCAUAAACAAGAUAGCAAGUUGAAAAAGUUGAAGGUACAACUGAAGCAAGGUUCAACAUCAGACGGAAGCAAAGGUAUGUUGUAUGUUGUUUUCAAGAAAG